CAGAGAACUGUUUGUCAAAUGUUUUGUAAAACGCACUGCAAGAAGUCUUGUUUCCUUUACUCCUGUUUGGUAGUAAUCGUUGAGAAAAAAGUUACUAGUACUUUCAUUUACAAAGGACCAAUUUAGUAGUAGAUUGACAUGCAUAACCGCGCAUAUUGAACAAUGAUAUGGGAUUUUUUGCAGAGAGGACGUUGCCAGCCGGGAGUUCAUUCACAUCUGGUCAUGCUCCAGAAACAGUAGGACUGGGAGAUGGUGUAACACGCGAGGAGAUUGAAGCACUUAAAAGAGAGACAAUUGGUGUCUUAACUGAGACCGUUUUGAAGAAACUUGUUGAAAUAGAACAGGCGCAUGGUAAAGGGCGGACACGUGUUGGCUUUAUUCAAGUCCUUGUUCGGCGCAUCAAACGGCUUCUGACCAUCCAUGGGGCGCCUGCACGCAACGAGAUGACCAGCGGAUUGCGCUGAGAAGCGGCUUCUGGUCUCGAUCCAGAGGCAAAAGAAUACUAUUUUUCGGAAUUUUCCAUGCACUGCAUCGAUCUGCAGGCUGUGCUGGUGUUCUGUUAAGCAACGAACAAGAGCUGUUUGUGUCAGCAUUGAUUUGGUGAUAAUCUGUUGGGGACUGACUGUGUUUGUGGUCAUUGGGUUACCUAGUAAUGUGACAGAUUUUAACAGUGACAAGAAGCGUGGAAAGAUGAUGUGACGUUGCCAUUUUGACACUGACUACUGGAAAUACCCAAAACAUGGCACAUCCUCUAGAGCCUUUACGAACAAAUAUAGAAGAGUGCUUAGCUUCUGUGGUUAUCUUCCAAAAUCUGUUUUCUUACAGCCACAUCUGUUUUCUUACAGAAAAUAGACACAAAUAAUUGUGAGAUACCGUAAUGCAAGGAAGUAACCUCAUUGCAACGUAAUGCUCAUUGUAACGCUUGUUUCUAUGUACAUAGCUGAAAGCCCACUGUAGUUGUGUCACCUAAACACUGUUUGUUAAACAAGAAGUAAAAGUUUUUCAGGCCAAGAAAAA